AGGCCCUGAGCUCUGUGGGCCCCAGGUGCCCCAGGAAAACUUGGGGGAGAAUGGGCAUCCCACCCCAGCACUUUCUAGGAAGGAGGGCAGCAUUUUGAAGGGCUGGAAGUAGAGGAAGGAGGUUGCGGGUAGAAGACUCCAUACUUUCUGUGAUGCCUAUUCCUUAGGUAGGAACUUAGGAACCUCAGUCAGAGGCGUGGCUUGCCUGGGCCCCUGGGUGCAGCUGCACAGAUUCAAGCAGCCUGAAGGAAAGGUGACUGACAGCUAAUGAUCUGAAAAGAACUUGUCUCAACUCAACGUCAUUCCUGGCAUUAUCGAACAAAGCAAUAAACCUCACAGAAUGGAAGCUACAGUGUCCAGGGCCAGCUCUGCUAAGGUAACCAAAGACAGAGAAGGAGGCAAAAGUGACAGAAGAAGCUCAUGGGAAACCAACAGAAAUGUAAUGGCUUUGGCAGAAAUGCAAUUAUCAAUUGGGAGCUUGAGAUGAAUGUUUUCUCAGUAUCCUAUGCUGAAAACAGGUAGAUACUAAUAUCGAUCUUCAAGGGAGGGCUGUUGAGUUUUGAAUAAGACAAAAACAUGGAAGCAAUCAGCACCAUGCUGGUAAGCAGAGGCAUAUCAUAAAAAUCAGUCUGUCUGGUUUUUUUUUUUUGAUGUAACAAAUAAAAUUGGGAAAUAAAUAUUUGAUUCAUGUAGUGGGGGCUGAAUUGCAUCUCCUCAAAUUCAUGUGUUGAAGUCCUUGCUCCCAAUACCUUAGAGUGUGAGUAUAUUUGAAGAUAGGGUCCUUAAAGAGGUCAUUAAGAUAAAAGUAGAUCAUAUGGAUGGGCCCCAAUCCAAUACGACUGGUGUCUUUACAAGAGGAGAUUAAGACACAGACACACACAGAAGGAAGACCAGGUGAAGAUAGCAAGAAGGCAGCUGUCAGCAAGCCCAGGAGAGAGGCCUCCAAAGGAACAAACCCUGCCGGCACCUUGUUCUCAACUUCCAACCUCCAGAACUGUGAAACAUAUUUUUGGGAUUAAGUCACCCAGUCUCUGGCACUUUAUUACUGCAGCCCCAGCAAACUAAGACAGUCAUUCAAAGCAUUACCAUGUUUUAUAAUUUUUAAGUUGUUUUCCAUGACGAAUGUAGCACUAGCCUUUGGGCAAAUUGGCUUUCCAGAACCUCAGUUACAGAUUGAUCUGUUCACCCCUUACAUGAUAGAAGAGAAAAUGUAGAACCAGAAGACUUAGGUGACUUAUCUAAGAUCACCCCAACCUGCGUUUGGUGGCCUCCUGCUGCCAUCACUGGAGGAUCAAAAAUAGAUAUUGGAUUGCUUUGAAAAGAUGGCUGUUAAACGGAUAUUUGGGUUCUAAGGAAUACAGUUUUAAACCCAAAUGUCCCAUCUAUUACCAGUUAAUGAUGUUUGCCUCAGAAUUCAUUCCCACCCGCUUACCCCCACCAAGAACCUCCCAGCCUUUCGGUUUAAUGUGAGGCACAGCCCUUUCCUCCAGCACUCCUGCCCUCUCAGCUCAGCAUUUACCACCAAGUGAUUCCGAGAGCUAGGAACACUUCCUGCCAAGGACUGUCUCUUUCACUGCUACAAGGUAAAGUUCAACGGGCUUUACUAUUUAUAUAUAAGACCUGAAGCCUGGCCUAAACCCACCAUUUCAGGCCAGUUCAGGGCAACUUGAGAGAGAGCAACUGGUGUCCACAGGAAACCACAAUUGGAAAAGGCAAUGGUUUUCAUUACAGUUUAAGGAAAAAAACCUCUUUUGUUUCAAAUUUUCUGGAAGACAUGAGGACACACACAAAAAAUGUGGCAUUAUAUAUGUCUGCCAUAGUAAACAUGAUACAAAGUGUGUAACUUACUCAAACAUAAUUUACUCUUCAGUUGAUGAUGCAGCAGUUUGAAGGGUCAUAUGUACAUGGAUGUUUAAUAAUCAUUUUGUCUUAAAUUGAGCACUUAGUAUGUGCCAGACACUGUGAUCUGUGUUUAAUUAUAGUCUCUCAUUUAAUCCUUGCAAUAACUCUGAGACUGUUGCUCUUUUAAUGCCAUUUUACCCACAGAGGAACAAAAGCUAAGAAACAUUAAGUGACUCGUCCAAGGUCACUUUAUGGGGAUGACGUAGAGCUAGAGUUCAAAUUCACGUGUACAUGACUCCAAAGCCCUGAAAGUGCUCUAAAUUAGAGUUAUAGUAAGUUUGGAGUUUGGGUUGAUGGACAACAUCCCUAAGACAUUCUUGAUCCCACAGGAAUCAAGCUAUCUGUAAUCACAGGGCUAUUUGAAAAAGAGAAGAAAAGGUGUCUUGAAAUUCAACCAACAUGUUUCAAUUAUUUGCUCCUAAGAACAACAGAAGUUUCAACAUUCUGCCAACAAAGUAACUCCUGGAAGAUUGGCACAGAAGAAGGCACAAGGAGAGCCUUUAUAUAACCAAAGAUAUUUUUGGACCAUGAAUUCGGAAAUUCUCGGAGCCACCCAUCAGUGCCUGAGCUUCAGUGAGUCCAUAUCCCAUGUCACCCACGGCAAAGGAGAAUCUAAGACUUCUGAAGAGUUUCUUGCUUCUUUCCUGUGGGGCAGUGACUCCACUUCCCAGCAGUAAUGGAAUAUCCUGAAUUAGCUACAUUAAUGUUAGAACCAUUUGGACCUCACCCAGGACUUCAACUACAUUAUGGUUCUAGUAUGUUAGGUUUAUGUUCCCCUGCUUUCUACAAUCCUGUUCAAAGAGUUGCUGACUUAACCACAGAGAGGAUUCCAGAACAUGAGACACAGAAUAAACUUGAGCAAUCAUAGUCCAUCCACUUCAUUUUCUCAUCAAAAACCAAAGGUCCAGUGAAGCUCUGGAACUCAACGCUGUAAAGGAGCGAAGGAGCUUCUAUACAGAGCCUGGAUGCCUGUCUCCUUAUCCUACUUCAGUGGACUUGACUGCAAUCCGGACUAUGCUGUUUUCUAAGCAUUUAAAAUAAAAUAAAAAGUGUAA